UGAGGAUUGGCGGCGGAGUGUCCCAUGGAAACGGAACCCAGAAUUGCAGCCAGGGGCUUGCACGGGGGCGGGGCAGGGUCUUUCCAAGGCGCCUGCGCUAAACCAGCUUCUCGGCGCCAUUUUGUCUCGGCAGCGGUCGGCGUAGCUCCAUCGCCUUUUAUGUUUCUGGCAAGAAGGGAACGGAGUUUUCAUCCGGUAGAUUGGUUUUUGUGCGUCCGUCCUUCACCGUUUCCUCCAGGACAGCACCUAGUCUUGGCCGGAGGAGUCUCAGAGCUGUCAGAAAGAAUAAGGCUGAUUUUACGGGAAAAUUAAGCAAAGUGUUCCUUGAAAAACCUGAAUCUGCGAUCUGUCUGUGGUCUCUUUAUGAAUAAAGAAAUAAAAGCAAAUAGAAUCUUAUCA
ensembl:lncRNA